CAAAAAAAAAAAAAACAAACAAACAAAAAAAACACCGCAAGCCAAGAAGAAAGAAGGUAUGCCUGGUGCCCCACUGAACUGAAUACGUGCAAACCGGAACGCGACCCCCUCAGCACGCCCAAGCGGCUGAACAAGGGAAAGAUGUGUCAGCUGCACUUCAGCCACCGUAGGACUCACCUCCGUCCAUCUUGGACAGCUUGCUUCUGUUCUGGUAAAGCUCAGAAAUAAUACCCUGCGUCUAAACACCAUAUAGGUUCUGGGAAGAUCAGA